AUUGAACGCUGGCGGCAGGCCUAACACAUGCAAGUCGAACGGUAACAGGAAGAAGCUUGCUUCUUUGCUGACGAGUGGCGGACGGGUGAGUAAUGUCUGGGAAACUUCCUGAUGGAGGGGGAUAACUACUGGAAACGGUAGCUAAUACCGCAUAACGUCGCAAGACCAAAGAGGGGGACCUUCGGGCCUCUUGCCAUCGGAUGUGCCCAGAUGGGAUUAGCUAGUAGGUGGGGUAACGGCUCACCUAGGCGACGAUCCCUAGCUGGUCUGAGAGGAUGACCAGCCACACUGGAACUGAGACACGGUCCAGACUCCUACGGGAGGCAGCAGUGGGGAAUAUUGCACAAAGGGCGCAAGCCUGAUGCAGCCAUGCCGCGUGUAUGAAGAAGGCCUUCGGGUUGUAAAGUACUUUCAGCGGGGAGGAAGGGAGUAAAGUUAAUACCUUUGCUCAUUGACGUUACCCGCAGAAGAAGCACCGGCUAACUCCGUG
rnacentral:rRNA from 1 species